CUCUGGUGGCUGUAAUUACUUUUGAGAAACAACCAAGAGAAGAACACCCGCAAACAACCUCAUUAUAAGAUAUGUAUACUUACUAGGAAAUGUGGCAACUUGCAGAUACUGGAGCAGACUGCUGACCUGAUCUGCACAUUUGUCUGGGUGGAUUGGAUCAGGUGAUUCCCCUUCAGAAACUGAGUUCACUAGAUUCCUUCCUCAUCCCUAGAUUUGCAUGUGAUUAAAACUAUGGGGAGCAGAGAGGUGAGAGAUGGUAGCCUUUUCUGGUUUUGUUAUUUACAUGUCUACUCAAAACUAAGUUCCAAAAUGAGUUUUGCUCCUGGCAGAAAGUAUACGAGUGGAGCCUAAUUAUCUCUAGAGCAAAUUAUGGCUUUGCUCUAAAUCAGUUGCUAAAGAUGCCAUGCUCCCCUGCUAUGCCCAAAAUUCAAGCACUGCUUUGUUUUCUGUCAGGUAAACCACAACUGGAGUGUGAAACCUCAAUGGACUCCAGAUUCUUUCAGGCUCUGUCCAUGACCAACCUCAUGCCACCACUUUCCAUCCACAAACCAUCAAGCUCUCCCUGGCUUCACCCUUGUCCCAACCAGAUUCUGUGAUAGCCCUACAUGUUCUGAGUCUGUCAUCUGGCCCUUCUCAGAAGAUCAGUAAUUAAUGAAAUCA